rnacentral:rRNA from 1 species
CCUACGGGAGGCAGCAGUGGGGAAUAUUGCGCAAUGGGCGAAAGCCUGACGCAGCGACGCCGCGUGAGGGAUGAAGGUCUUCGGAUCGUAAACCUCUGUUAGCAGGGAAGAACGGUCACUGUGCUAAUCAGCAGUGAAUUGACGGUACCUGCAAAGGAAGCACCGGCUAACUCCGUGCCAGCAGCCGCGGUAAUACGGAGGGUGCGAGCGUUAAUCGGAAUUAUUGGGCGUAAAGCGCGCGUAGGCGGUAUGUCAAGUCAAGGGUGAAAUCCCCGGGCUCAACGUGGGAACUGCCUUUGAAACUGGGAAACUGGAGUGUGUGAGAGGAUAGUGGAAUUCCAGGUGUAGGGGUGAAAUCCGUAGAUAUCUGGAGGAACAUCAGUGGCGAAGGCGGCUAUCUGGCACGUAACUGACGCUGAGGAGCGAAAGCGUGGGUAGCAAACAGGAUUAGAUACCCCAGUAGUC